rnacentral:rRNA from 1 species
UGGGGAAUAUUGGACAAUGGGGGAAACCCUGAUCCAGCCAUGCCGCGUGAGUGAUGAAGGCCUUCUGGUUGUAAAGCUCUUUCGCUGGUGACGAUAAUGACGGUAGCCGUAGAAGAAGCCCCGGCUAACUUCGUGCCAGCAGCCGCGGUAAUACGAAGGGGGCUAGCGUUGUUCGGAAUUACUGGGCGUAAAGCGCGCGUAGGCGGACUCUUAAGCCAGAUGUGAAAUCCCGAGGCUCAACCUCGGAACUGCAUUUGGAACUGGGAGUCUAGAGGUCAGGAGAGGUUCGUGGAAUGCCGAGUGUAGAGGUGAAAUUCGUAGAUAUUCGGUGGAACACCAGUGGCGAAGGCGACGAACUGGACUGAUACUGACGCUGAGGUGCGAAAGUGUGGGGAGCAAACAGGAUUAGAUACCCCCGUAGUCC